AGAGAGAGAGGGAGACUGGGAGGGAGAGAGAGAGGGAGACUGGGAGGGAGAGAGAGAGGGAGACUGGGAGGGAGAGAUAAAAUAAUGUAGCCCCAGGUUGUGCACCUUUGCGGAAUUAUCUCGUAAUUUAAUAUGCAGUACUGUAUAGCUAUUGUCAUAGAUGACACCUAAUUUUGUCUAUAUUAAUUAGACUAUUCAAGUACCUUACCCAUAUAGAUACAUUAUAUAUCAUGACAGCCUUAUAUUUUCUAACAGUAAUUUCUGUUAUUGUUUGUGAUUAUUUGACCGAGUUCAAUUUUGAAUUUUUUGAAGUUUGAAAAUACAGUACUGCCAAUGUAACAGGAUUUCUCAGUGCAUGAAGUGUUGUAAUAGUGCUUGAAUCUCAUAAUGUGGUUAAAAAUUGCUGCUGUGCAUAAUUAUUUUGUGCUGUAUGCCUAAUAUGUCGGUGUAUAGCACGUUACAUACAAAAUGACCGCAUCAGCAUAUUGUGUUUCAAAACACGUUAAACAAUAUUAUACAAAAGAAACAAGGUACCGGGUACUUGAAGUGAAGGUGAGAAACAGGUUCAUGUAGUGAAGGUGGAAAACGGGUUCAUGCAGUGAAGGUGGAAAACGGGUUCAUGCAGUGAAGGUGGAAAAUGGGUUCAUGCAGUGAAGGUGGAAAAUGGGUUCAUGCAGUGAAGGUGGAAAAUGGGUUCAUGCAGUGAAGGUGGAAAACGGGUUCAUGCAGUGAAGGUGGAAAACGGGUUCAUGCAGUGAAGGUGGAAAACGGGUUCAUGCAGUGAAGGUGGAAAACGGAUGCGUGCGGUGAACGCAAUACGUCAGCCAGUUAAGGCUCGGGUGCCUUUGUUUACGUAUUGUAGUCAACAGACUCGUCUCAAUGGUUUGUAUUUGACAUGGACCUUUGCUCUUCAUUAGAUAGCAUCUGUUUUUAUUUGUAAAAUACUUAAUAUGUUGAAGGUAUUUGAGCCCAUUGCUUACUGUAGUUAAGUUGCUUGAAGUUUGUGCUCCCUGAGGACCACUUGAUAUCGCUGAGGCCCAGCCCGUCUCGGGUGUCAUCAGGGAGAGUUGUUGAACUCUGUUCUCUCUUCAUAUUUUAUAAUGAAACAUGUAAACGGACGAGUCAACCGUGUCUCGAAAUUGGCAGCUGUAUUGUAUAAUAGAAACAUCGUGUCAGGAAUUUUGUGACAAGUUCAGAUGUCUAUUAUACAUUAUUUAAACAAAGUUAUUUUAUAUGCAUAUUUUUGUAUGCUUCUUUUUAUACAAUUGGACUUGCAAGAUACAAUCUCAAGGUAUUUUUUGUUAGAGAUUAUGCAGUUAAUAUAAUUGUAUACAAUAUUUAUAUAGAGAAGAAAUUUGGAUUUAAUGUAUUUUUGAAGGUAAUUAUGUCCCAACAAGCUGCAGUUAUAUAGUGAAUUGCUAAAGAACUUUACAUUGAUAAUAACUUGGCUACAUUCAAGGCACUGGGAUGGUUACCUUGAGGUUACCUUGAGAUAAUUUUGGGGCUUAGCGUCCCCGUGGCCCGGUCCUUGUUCAGGCCUCCUGGUUGCUGGACUGAUCAACCAGGCUGUUGGACGCGGCUGCUCACAGCCUGACAUAUGAAUCACAGCCUGGUUGAUCAGGUAUCCUUUGGAUGUGUUUAUCAAGUUCUGUCUUAAACACUGUGAUGGGAUACUUAGGUCCCAACACUAAAGGAUACUUAAUGAGUUGAUUCAGAUGCUCCGAAGUGUAUUAUAUACUUCCAGAGUGAGAAUGUGUAUUCCAUUUUUGUCCAGUACUUUGUGCAAAAAAUGGUCAGAUCGCUUGAAUUAGUUCUUGUUAUGGAAAUUGUAUAAAUAGAAUAUUUAGGGUAAUUAACUUUAAAAAAUACACUUGAUUUACAAUUACUUAUUUGGACCACUUCAAUAUUUAAUGAGAUAAAGCAGUGAAUUUAGGACUGUCAUUUUGACUUCAUUUCUAAUUGAUUAUGUUUUGUACAUGUGGCGGGUGUUCACGAGGUGUUCUCUUCCCGGUCCCCCUUUGUGUGUGUGGUACAUGUGGCGGGUGUUCACGAGGUGUUCUCUUCCCGGUCCCCCUUUGUGUGUGUGGUACAUGUGGCGGGUGUUCACCAGGUGUUCUCUUCCCGGUCCCCCUUUGUGUGUGUGGUACAUGUGGCAGGUGUUCACCAAGUGUUCUCUUCCCAGUCCCCCUUUGUGUGUGUGGUGCAUGUAGUAGGUGUUCACCAGGUGUUCUCUCCCCUGGUCCCUCUUUGUGUGUGUGGUACAUGUGGCAGGUGUUCUCUUCCCGGUCCCCCUUUGUGUGUGUGGUACAUGUGGCAGGUGUUCACCAAGUGUUCUCUUCCCAGUCCCCCUUUGUGUGUGUGGUGCAUGUAGUAGGUGUUCACCAGGUGUUCUCUCCCCUGGUCCCUCUUUGUGUGUGUGGUACAUGUGGCAGGUGUUCACCAGGUGUUCUCUCCCCUGGUCCCCCUCCUCGUCUGUGUGUGGGGUACGUGUGGAGGGUGUUCACCAGGUGUUCUCUCCCCUGGUCCCCCUCCUCGUCUGUGUGUGGGGUACAUGUGGAGGGUGUUCACCAGGUAUCGUGCUGGGGCUGCACACUUAAAACCUGUCGUAUGCUACACCACCAUUCACCGGAGUAUCAUAUGGUGGUAUAAACUAUCCAGGGAUGUUAUUGAAACAAAAUCAGUUGACUCGCAAUGGCUAAACCUUUUAUAUUAUUCUUUGUUUAAAAUAAAGGGUUUUGUUGCGUGAAAGAGCUGCACUUGAUACAUUAUUUCAAAGCACACAGGAGAACCACAUUUCCACAUUAAGGGGAAUCAUCGUUUGCGUGUGUACUCGCCUAUUUUACCUGUUUGUUAUUGUUAUGAAUGUAAGUGAACAUUCAUGUUUGAAUACACUAUAAUUUUUUUUCAAGAGGGUGGGGGAGUGCAUCUAAAAAAUAGGCUUAUCAUUUUCUUCUUGUUCUUCUUGUUCUUCUUCUUGUUCUUCUUCUUGUUCUCUUCCUCCUCCUUCUCCUCCUCCUUCUCCUCUGUCACCUAUAAGCUAUUUUAUCCCAUAUUGGCUCUUGAAUCUUGAAUAUUCUGUUAUUGCAUUUAGUUUGUGGAGGUGAGAAAUCUUUAAAUUAAUGCCAAUUUUUAAUCAAGUUUAUACUAUCUUCCUGGCAGCAGCAGCAAUAGUGAACCUCCUGUAUAUAAAUGGUUUUCAAAUUAUAAGAUGGCUAACUCUAAUAUAAUUCUUUAACCAAAGAUAAUUAUUUUUAAACUAUUUAAUCCUAAACGCUAGUAUUCAUGUAUUUGUUCAUAAUUAUAUGGUAGUGUUUGAGAAUAGCAUCCAAAAGUCUGUGAAAGUUUUCUUAAUAAUGUAUAUUCUUUAUUGGGAAUGACUAUUUCUUAAAAAUGAUUUAGAAUUCAUCAUUUUAUCAAGUAUGUAGAA
rnacentral:lncRNA from 1 species